AAAGGACUUAAUUUGAAGUUCAAUUAUGCCUUGCUGGGUCAGUGAUCUGUGAGCGGAAUUAUCGAGACCUGCUGAUGACCUGACAAGGAGAAAGCCAACCAGGACAAUUGGAAACAGUCCUAAUCUAAUGACUGGCGUCCUUCUAAGAAGAAGAGAAGAGACAGACAAACAGACACAGGGGAGAAGUCCGUAUGAAGAUGGAAGCAGACAUUGGAAUAAUGCAGCUACAAGCCAGGGAGCUCUAAGGAUGGACACCACCAGAAGCUAGGAAGAGCUUAGUAAAUCUCAAGUUCGCAGAGAGCUGUAUUUGGAGACUAUAUCCUUAUUGUGUAGGUGCCGUUGGCAGGCGAGACUCCUAAGGCAGCAGCUGAUGCUGCAGACAAGGCCUCCCCAGCAGAGGACGUGGAAGAAACCAAGACAGCAACACAAGUGCGCAGAAUCGGUCCAUGUCCCUGAGUUGGUUUGUGUUUCAAAUUGCCCCAUUAUAAGUUGAGAGAUGGCCCAGCCAAAGAAGAUUGGGGGAUGGAGACUUGAAUAACUGCUGCUCUCAACAGAAAUAA